GUGAAAACUCUGAAAAAGAAGAGAAAUCACAAUCUGGCUUAAGAAGUUUGACAAAGAAGUAAAGCAAAGAAAUGUCAAAGGGUUAAAGCUGAGCAUCCAGACUACACAAAGAAGCCCUAAGUGAGCUGAUUGUAGUAGGAGCAUUAGCCUGAAAAUCAGUACUGCCUGGGAGCACUUCCAUCUGUCAAUCAGAAAACAUUAGAGUGGGUACUUAGAGAGUUAAGAGCAGACCCAACAGCCAAAAUGAUGAGCUUCCAAGUGAAAUCUAAGGAAUAGCGACUGUGAUUUGCUAUGGAGAGGUAUCUAUCACUCUAUCAUAACUAUUGCCAUUGCCAUCAACUUUAAUUUUCUACCUAGACACCCACCAGAAUGGCUAAAUUAAAAAGGACAGACAACUCUAAACACCGACAGGGGUAUGGAGCAACACCAUACGUUGUGGGUGGGACCGGAAAGGCGGAACCACUGUGACAAGUUCUG
rnacentral:lncRNA from 10 species